GGUCUCCAUGACAACCAGCUGUCCAUAAUUAGUUCAUCAAGACAGGCAGAGUUGAGGCUAGAGUGGCUGCAUGUCAAGAGGUCGUAAGGUGCUUGAAUCAUUUGGUCAUCAGGUAGUUUGGGUCCAUACCACUGAAACAAUGCAUCGAGCUCUGCCCAUUUAUCUAAGUUUUCUUUUGAUUGGCUCUGUCUUUGCUGGAGGUUCCUGGUGUGCCAACACAGCAAGAGCCCGAGCAGCUGCCCUGGGUUUGGUCCUCCCUAGGACCCAGUUUGUCCCUUACAGCCUUCGACCAACACGCCAUAGGAGUUUUGAUCCCAUAAAAACCCUCUAUGAAAAUAAUGAUGGGCCCAAAGAGGCUGAGUUUGAGCCUAGCCUUCUGCGCAACAGUAAAAUCCAAGGGGAUGGCUAUCCAACUGACUGGGCCUAUGGACAAGUCUUCGCCAGAGGCUUUCAACCCAAACCGUAUUCACCAAACUAUCACGGUUCUGAUCCCAGUUUGGCUGACUCCUCUGUCAGCCAUUCUGUCUACACUCCCAAGGGAGAACUUGUUAGCAGCCACAAGCCCAACUUUGAGCAAGUCAAGAAUUCUGCGCCUCGAUCAAAUGUAAUGGUAGCCCCUGGUCAGUUUGAGUACUCAGACAAAGUGGACAUUCGCAAUUACUAUAAGCCUGUUGUAGUUCAGCCUGUCCCCAGCAGACGUAGAACAACCCAGAGUGUUGUUCCACGACCCCAGAGCAGAGGUGCUGUACCCUAUGGAAAAAGUAUCCUAUGGUCCUGGCCACAGAGACUUAUCCUCUCCACCAUCCCAGAGUGGACUCAUCAGCCUCCGAGCUAAAAAAAAAUGUUCCCAGACCCUGGUGUUGUCCAUUCAGUGAUCAAAGAGCCAAAAAUGAAGUGUCAGAAAAAAACGGAUCCUGUUGGUUAAUAAGCUCCUAAUGGACAAACUCUCCUUUGCAAACCACCUUUGGCUCCUCAGACAUACAUACCAGUGGUGAGCAAAUCUGUGACCUUGUGCACUUUUAAGGGCAAAACAUGUAAACUGUGUUUGAAGUCAUUACAUUUACUUAUCCAUGACAUCACUGUUCUGAAUCACUAUUUGUUUAUGGCUCUUCCCCCACUGCCCAGUGUUUAUCCUUCAAAUAAAAUGUCUGUUUUUCA